rnacentral:lncRNA from 10 species
AAGGAGUAAAAUAAUGUCUCAAAUAAGUGCGGCUGUUUCUACCUUUGUGCAGGUAAAGUUUGCAAAGACCUAAAAACUAUGGUCAAAUAAGUACAAAAUCUCCCAACAAAAAGAGAAGUAAAGAAUACCGAGGCGGUAUCUACCAUUGUGUUUACCUGAAAGAUCUACACUGAGCUAUCUCGAGGUUGCAGUGGUACUGACGUGUGUGAGGUUGGCUGAAUUAUGGCUCAUGGAAUCUGUUUUGUGGAAUUCACUCUUCUCACAGGUCUUCUACUCCUUAAGAUAGACAAGAUUGAUGAAAGACUGGAAAUGACUUUGCCUGGACUACGAUUCAGCAACAGUGUCCCUCUGGCAAGACUACUGGCCAGGAAGACAAAACUUCUGGAAUGCCUCUUCAUCUGUCCUAACAGUAACAUCUGAAGCCUCUUCCACCUGAAUUAUGAAGAUGUCAAGUAUUCUCAGCCUCAAAUUAAUGUAUCAAGUACAUUGCAUUUGUAUCUUUGUGUUCUUUCCUAGCUUCUUAAAAAACUGUGCUAAUUGUUUUCAAAAAUUGUUGUUUUUCUAACAUAUUUGUUACAACAUCAAUAUAUGUGACUUAAUAAAAUAGUCUCUGAGAACAUGUGCUUUUCUGUAUGUGUUAGGUAUCGGC